GAUGAACGCUGGCGGCGUGCCUAAUACAUGCAAGUCGAGCGAACAGACGAGGAGCUUGCUCCUCUGACGUUAGCGGCGGACGGGUGAGUAACACGUGGAUAACCUACCUAUAAGACUGGGAUAACUUCGGGAAACCGGAGCUAAUACCGGAUAAUAUAUUGAACCGCAUGGUUCAAUAGUGAAAGACGGUUUUGCUGUCACUUAUAGAUGGAUCCGCGCCGCAUUAGCUAGUUGGUAAGGUAACGGCUUACCAAGGCAACGAUGCGUAGCCGACCGGAGAGGGUGAUCGGCCACACUGGAACUGAGACACGGUCCAGACUCCUACGGGAGGCAGCAGUAGGCAAUCUUCCGCAAUGGGCGAAAGCUUGACGGAGCAACGCCACGUGAGUGAUGAAGGUCUUCGGAUCGUAAUACUCUGUUAUUAGGGAAGAACAAAUGUGUAAGUAACUAUGCACGUCUUGACGGUACCUAAUCAGAAAGCCACGGCUAACUACGUG
rnacentral:rRNA from 1 species